GAUGAACGCUGGCGGCGUGCUUAACACAUGCAAGUCGAACGAAGCACUUUAUUUGAUUUCCUUCGGGACUGAUUAUUUUGUGACUGAGUGGCGGACGGGUGAGUUACGCGUGGGUAACCUGCCUUGUACAGGGGGAUAACAUUUGGAAACGGCUGCUAAUACCGCAUAAGCGCCCAGCAUCGCAUGCUGCAGUGUGAAAAACUCCGGUGGUAUACGAUGGACCCGCGUUGGAUUAGCUAGUUGGUGAGGUAACGGCCCACCAAGGCGACGAUCCAUAGCCGACCUGAGAGGGUGACCGGCCACAUUGGGACUGAGACACGGCCCAAACUCCUACGGGAGGCAGCAGUGGGGAAUAUUGCACAAUGGGCGAAAGCCUGAUGCAGCGACGCCGCGUGAGCGAAGAAGUAUUGCGGUAUGUAAAGCUCUAUCAGCAGGGAAGAUAAUGACGGUACCUGACUAAGAAGCACCGGCUAAAUACGUG
rnacentral:rRNA from 1 species